rnacentral:rRNA from 1 species
UACGUAGGGUGCAAGCGUUGUCCGGAUUUACUGGGCGUAAAGAGCGCGCAGGCGGUCGCUCAAGUCGCGUGUGAAAGCCCCCGGCUCAACUGGGGAGGGUCACGCGAUACUGAUCGACUGGAAGGCAGGAGAGGGUAGUGGAAUUCCCGGUGUAGUGGUGAAAUGCGUAGAUAUCGGGAGGAACACCAGUGGCGAAGGCGACUACCUGGCCUGUUCUUGACGCUGAGGCGCGAAAGCUAGGGGAGCAAACGGG